rnacentral:rRNA from 1 species
GACGAACGCUGGCGGCGUGCCUAAUACAUGCAAGUUGAGCGCUGAAGGUUGGUACUUGUACCCACUGGAUGAGCAGCGAACGGGUGAGUAACGCGUGGGGAGUCUGCCUUUGAGCGGGGGACAACAUUUGGAAACGAAUGCUAAUACCGCAUAAAAACUUUAAACACAAGUUUUAAGUUUGAAAGAUGCAAUUGCAUCACUCAAAGAUGAUCCCGCGUUGUAUUAGCUAGUUGGUGAGGUAAAGGCUCACCAAGGCGAUGAUACAUAGCCGACCUGAGAGGGUGAUCGGCCACAUUGGGACUGAGACACGGCCCAAACUCCUACGGGAGGCAGCAGUAGGGAAUCUUCGGCAAUGGACGAAAGUCUGACCGAGCAACGCCGCGUGAGUGAAGAAGGUUUUCGGAUCGUAAAACUCUGUUGGUAGAGAAGAACGUUGGUGAGAGUGGAAAGCUCAUCAAGUGACGGUAACUACCCAGAAAGGGACGGCUAACUACGUG